rnacentral:rRNA from 3 species
AAACCAACAGGGAUUGCCUUAGUAACGGCGAGUGAAGCGGCAAAAGCUCAAAUUUGAAAUCUGGUACCUUCGGUGCCCGAGUUGUAAUUUGUAGAAAACUAUCUUUGGUUUGGCCCUUGUCUAUGUUUCUUGGAACAGGACAUCAUAGAGGGUGACAAUCCCGUCUGAUGGGGUGCCCAUUCCUAAUAAGAUGUUUUCGAAGAGUCGAGUUGUUUGGGAAUGCAGCUCAAAGUGGGUGGUAAAUUCCAUCUAAAGCUAAAUAUUGGCGAGAGACCGAUAGCGAACAAGUACUGUGAAGGAAAGAUGAAAAGAACUUUGAAAAGAGAGUGAAAAAGUACGUGAAAUUGUUGGAAGGGAAGGGUAUUCGAUCAGACUGGUAUUUAGUUAUCCUUAUCUCUCGGGAUGGGGCCAUAACUUUUUACCGGGCCAGCAUCAGUUUUGGUGGCAAGACAAGAACAGUUGAAUGUGACUCCCUCGGGAGUGUUAUAGCCUCUGUUGAUGUUGCCUACCGGGACUGAGGUCUGCGGCUUUGCCUAGGAUGCUGGCUUAAUGAUCUAAUACCGC